UACGAAGGGGGCUAGCGUUAUUCGGAAUUAUUGGGCGUAAAGGGCGCGUAGGCGGCUUGACAAGUCAAAGGUGAAAUCCCUCGGCUCAACUGAGGAACUGCCUUUGAAACUGUCUGGCUUGAGGCCGGGAGGGGGUAGCGGAAUUCCCAGUGUAGCGGUGAAGAUGCGUAGAUACGUGGGAGGAACACCCAGUGGCGAAGGCGGCUACCUGGACCGGUUCUGACGCUGAUGCGCGAAAGCGUGGGUAGCAAACAGG
rnacentral:rRNA from 1 species